GGUUUAUAACUAACUUAUAUCACAUUUGUGGAGGUUUUCUAACAUAUUUUGUCAUUUUCAAACAUUUUUGAUGAAACAUUCUCGCGUUUUGUCGAAAAGUUUGUUGUAAUUAUUUAUUAAAGGUAUAUUAGCUAGUUAUAAACCUCGGACGAUCAAAGAAAACCGACACAAAUGUGAUAUAAAUAUAUAUAUUUGCCUGCCGCGGCUGAGUUUUGGACCCGCGACCUUAUAGAAUUACCAGAUCGAUUGUCUAUACCAAGUGAGCUACACGGGUAGGACGGAUUGAAGACUGGAAAUUAUGAAAUAUAUGCUGAAUGCCAUAAAUAUACUCGUUUAUAUUAAUGAUCGUCAUAUCAUAUAACCAUGACUACCACUGUACGCGUGCCAGCGUUCAGUCAGCGGUUGGCUACUUGGAAAUACUUCACGUUAAAGCAAUGUCAAUAUUUGGAAAAUACAAUUGUAUGGUUAGAAAGGUGAGGGUCUCUGCAUAAAUGUAUUUCUAGUUAUUAGAAAAGCUUUCCGUUAGAGACCGUCUUUUAGUUUAGCAUAGGUUCUCAUGCCAAGCGGAUAACGCGAAUUUUUAAUUCGAUUUUUUAGAUUUGACAUCAGUCAGUGUACUAUUUGUAAGAAUCCUCUGCAAGAUCCUGUGCAAAUGCCAUGUGAGCAUAUAUGCUGUAUGCCUUGUGGAAAUCGUUGGUUUAAGGAACAUAACGCAUGUCCCGUAUGCAGGAGAGAAGUUGGUGGCAAUUUCAAAAUUAUAAUCAGUAAAAAAUGCAGGUACAGUUAAAAAUAAAUUAUUUUUGUUGAUAUAGUAUAUAGUUGAAGUGGAUCACUGGAU